rnacentral:rRNA from 1 species
GCGGGGGAGCACUACAACCGGAGGAGCCUGCGGUUUAAUUGGACUCAACGCCGGAAAUCUCACCAGCCCCGACAUCAGUAAUGACAGUCAUGUUAACGACAUCCGCUACGAGCCGAUGAGAGGAGGUGCAUGGCCGCCGUCAGCUCGUACCGUGAGGCGUCCUGUUAAGUCAGGCAACGAGCGAGACCCACGUUCCUAAUUGCCAGCACCAGCGCACGCUGGGUGGGUACAUUAGGAAGACUGCCGUUGCGAAAACGGAGGAGGGAAUGGGCAACGGUAGGUCAGUAUGCCCCGAAUGGGCUGGGCAACACGCGGGCUACAAUGGUCAGGACAAUGGGUUCCUACGCCGAGAGGCGACGGUAAUCUCAGAAACCUGGUCGUAGUUCGGAUUGCGGACUGAAACUCGUCCGCAUGAAGCUGGAUUCGGUAGUAAUCGCGUUUCAGAAGAGCGCGGUGAAUACGUCCCUGCUCCUUGCACACACCGCCUGUCAAAGCACCCGAGUGAGGUCCGGAUGAGGCCACAUCACUGUGGUCAAAUCUGGGCUUCGCAAGGGGGCUUAAGUCGUAACAAGGUAGCGGU